rnacentral:tRNA from 1 species
ACUCUGGAAGAUUAAUGGUUAGACCACAGCGCUCUCACCACUGUGGACCGGGUUUGAUUCCCGGGCAGGGAA